GUCAGGAUGGCCGAGUGGUCCAAGGCGCCAGACUCAAGUUCUGGUCCUCGAAAGAGGGCGUUGGUUCAAACCCCACUUCUGACA
rnacentral:tRNA from 1 species